rnacentral:rRNA from 1 species
AUUGAACGCUGGCGGCAGGCCUAACACAUGCAAGUCGAACGAGUGGCGGACGGGUGAGUAAUGUCUGGGAAACUGCCCGAUGGAGGGGGAUAACUACUGGAAACGGUAGCUAAUACCGCAUCCCAUCGGAUGUGCCCAGAUGGGAUUAGCUUGUGGGUGAGGUAACGGCUCACCUAGGCGACGAUCCAUAUCUGGUCUGAGAGGAUGACCAGCCACACUGGAAAUGAGACACUGUCCAGACUCUGACGGGAGGCAGCAGUGGGUAAUAUGGCACAAUGGGUGCAAGCCUGAUGCAGCAAUGCCGCGUGUAUGAAGAAGGCCUUCGGGUUGUAAAGUACUUUCAGCGGGGAGGCGUUACCCGCAGAAGAAGCACCGGCUAACUCCGUGCCAGCAGCCGCGGUAAUAC